rnacentral:rRNA from 1 species
UACGGAGGGUGCGAGCGUUGUCCGGAAUCACUGGGCGUAAAGGGCGCGUAGGCGGCCUGAUAAGUAGGGGGUGAAAUCUUGCGGCUUAACCGCAAGGCUGCCUUCUAAACUGUCAGGCUAGAGCACAGUAGAGGCAGGUGGAAUUCCCGGUGUAGCGGUGGAAUGCGUAGAGAUCGGGAAGAACAUCAGUGGCGAAGGCGGCCUGCCGGGCUGUUGCUGACGCUGAGGCGCGACAGCGUGGGGAGCAAACAGG